CCUACGGGGGGCUGCAGUGGGGAAUAUUGGACAAUGGGGGGAACCCUGAUCCAGCCAUGCCGCGUGUGUGAAGAAGGCCCUCGGGUUGUAAAGCACUUUCAGUGAGGAAGAACGCCUGGUGGUUAAUACCCAUCAGGAAAGACAUCACUCACAGAAGAAGCACCGGCUAACUCCGUGCCAGCAGCCGCGGUAAUACGGAGGGUGCGAGCGUUAAUCGGAAUUACUGGGCGUAAAGCGCGCGUAGGUGGCUUGAUAAGCCGGUUGUGAAAGCCCCGGGCUCAACCUGGGAACGGCAUCCGGAACUGUCAAGCUAGAGUGCAGGAGAGGAAAGUAGAAUUCCCGGUGUAGCGGUGAAAUGCGUAGAGAUCGGGAGGAAUACCAGUGGCGAAGGCGGCCUUCUGGACUGACACUGACACUGAGGUGCGAAAGCGUGGGUAGCAAACAGGAUUAGAUACCCUGGUAGUC
rnacentral:rRNA from 1 species